AGAUUCCCCAAGGGACACUGGAGAAAGCCUGAAUUCUUAAUCUUCGAAGAAAAAAACAUCAAAAGGAAAAUGGUGUUCAAGCUGUCACUCAUCAGCCUGUUCCUCCUGUUUGUCACUAACACUUUGGGGAGCACUACAACAUUAAUGACCUCAAGGUCUAUGACAGUCUCGAGUCCCGCGAUGAGUCUGAAUUCUCUGACAAUCCCAAAUUCCAAGACAACCUCGAAUUCCAAGACAACCUCGAAUUCCAAGACAACCUCGAAUUCCAAGACAACCUCGAAUUCCAACACAACCUCGAAUUCCAAGACAACCUCGAAUUCCAAGACAAUCUCGAAUUCCAACACAAUCUCAACUCUCAAGACAACUUCAGAUCUCCAAAGAACCUCAAAUACAAAGGUGACUUCAAAUGACAAGAUACUUCUGAAAACAGCAGUGACCCCAAAGAUAGCCACAACCAUGAACACGACGACUAUGGGAAGUGGUGGCACGAAACUGAAUCCAAUGGAGAGCACUCAUUUUCUUUUCUAUAUAAUAUGUUCACUGUUUUGUGUGCACUCAGGCUGAAGUGGACUUGAACUUCUGCAUUCCUAUCUCAGUUCAUUACUAUCUGCCGAAUUACAACAAGCACACUAGGAAAAUCAAAUUUAUUUCAACUUACUUGUUAGGAAGUUAUCAUUAUCCUGGCUUAAUUAGGU